UGCCUUUGUGUUGCCCAUUCAUUUUCUAUUAGAUGAAUGUGGUGUCAACUAAGGCAUACAGUAUAUCUUGCAAUAGCCAAAAAUGUAUGAGGACAUGCUUUUCCUUUUUACUUGUGCUAUGUCAAGAACAAAA